UACGUAGGGGGCAAGCGUUAUCCGGAUUUACUGGGUGUAAAGGGAGCGCAGACGGCAAUGCAAGUCUGAAGUGAAAGCCCGGGGCUCAACCCCGGUACUGCUUUGGAAACUGUAUAGCUAGAGUACUGGAGAGGCAAGUGGAAUUCCUAGUGUAGCGGUGAAAUGCGUAGAUAUUAGGAGGAACACCAGUGGCGAAGGCGGCUUGCUGGACAGUAACUGACGUUGAGGCUCGAAAGCGUGGGGAGCAAACAGG
rnacentral:rRNA from 1 species